AGCUUUACGAAUCCGUGCUGAGAUUUCGUCAGACACCGACCCAUUAGUACUGAUCAGACAUCCAAGAUAAGUGAAGUU
rnacentral:pre_miRNA from 1 species